ACGGAAUUCGAAUCCCUAAUACUUACUUAAACAAACAAGUAAGAUGACCACUCAACCAACUCAAAUUGGUUGAGACAAAUACUAUUUAAAAUCAAGCGACAAAGUACAAGUUAAUGUAAGAAGUUAUACAAAGAACUCGAACAAAGUGACCUUAAUGAGAUCGGAUAAAAAACUAGCGGUAAAAGUAACUUAAUAAAGACUAACUACUCGAAGUCAGCGCUGUGAAAAGAAACUAAUAACUUAUAGAGUUAAACCCCAAAGUGGUCCCUGAGAUUCACGGUUUGCACCAAUUUAGUCCCUGACUUACCAAUUGCACCAUUUAUGUUCGUGAAAUUGU